CUAUAUUUUAAGAUAAUUUUAUUUGUAUUUUUAACAUAUUAUUAUUGUUUGGCAAGAUCAAAAAAAUGAAUUUGCAGGAUCUUGAGAAAGUAAUGGACACAAAGUAUUUAAAAGUUGCCUAACAGCCCGGAUGUCCCUUUAGUGGCUGUCUACAAGACAGCCACUAGAGGUGGAGUAAACAUGGUCCUUAAGGGGUUAAAGGUAGUUUCUUAAAAGCUGCAAUAAUUACCUUUGCAGGGUUAAGGGACCUGGGAAUAUGCACCCAGACCUCUUCAAUGAGCUGCAGUGGUCUGAAUGACUAUAGAAUCCCUUUAAUAUAUAUUUUUGCUUGCUCUCUUUGCUGUCAGCUUAGGGAUAUCAUAUGAUAUAGUGAUGAGAAAGAGAAGGCAUGAAAAUCCCAUAAUGCAUUGCAAGUUGGAGUAUGGGACAAUGAGCAGGGCUUUGUGCUGUUAUUUGGAGAUUUUAUUUAAUAUUUUUCUUUGGGAAGGCAGUAUAUAUGCUCUGCUAAUAUGAUGUUCUAAUAAUUAAAGGACCACUAUAGUGCCAGGAAAACAUACAAGUUUUCCUGGCACUAUAGUGCCCUGAGGGUGCCCUCACCCUCAGGGCCCCCUUCCCGCCGGGCUCUAGGGGGUGGAAGGGGUUAAAUUUACCUCUUUUUCCAGCGCCGGGUGGGGGACUCUCCUCCUUGUCGUCGUCAUAGGCUUAAUGCACAUGCGCGGCAUGAGCCACACGCGCCUUUAGCCAAAAUCUCCAAGCAUUCUCAAUGCUUUCCUAUGGACGCUGGCAUCUUCUCGCUGUGAUUUUCACAGUGAGGAGCGCGGAAGCACUUCUAGCAGCUGUCAAUGAGACAGCCACUAGAGGCUGGAUUAACCCCAUUAUAAACAUAGCAGUUUUUCUGAAACUGCUAUGUUUAUAGAAGAAAGGGUUAAUCCUAGCUGGACCUGGCACCCAGACCACUUCAUUAAACUGAAGUGGUCUGGGCGCCUUUAGUGGUCCUUUAAUUUUGAAUGGACAUUCUUUACCUCCUGGUUCAUGUUCCCUAACUCUGAUAUUUCCAGCAGACUCAACAUCCUAUCUAUAUUGCUUCCCUGUGUAAUGAAUAUUUUGAACAGGUGGCAGUGAAACCGACAUUGUACAGAGUGUCGAUCAAAUAGACACAAAGUGAGAGGCGCCGCAUGGUCAAUGAGAAGGAAGUGCAUGCGCUUCUUACCCGGGUAAGUAUUUAAUAGAAAGGAAUACAUCACUGGUACAAUAUCCAGAUUGGAAUCUAAAAUGUUAAUUUGUACUGUUAUAUAAUCUGUAAUUUUAUCUCUGUUGCUCAUGCUAUCAAUAAGUAAAUUAUUCCAAAAAUGUAACGGAUUGCAAACAUCUCCAACAGAUGCAUACAUUAUAAAGGCAUAGCUAUCUAAAUAUAGCUUCUGGUGCCCCAACGAUAUCUGCCACAAUAAAUGCAAGACCAUUCAGUCCAGGAGGCAUUAACCUCAAAUUCUCAAUUUUCCUCUAGUACAAUAUGGAUGCCCAUUAGCUAUAAUUGGUUCUGUUCCCAUCACAAGUACUUUGCCACAGGUCACCAAUAAAAACCAUAACUCUUUCCAGUACCCUUUUAGUAGCUUCUAGCAGGGAUGUUCUUUCCGUUUAGAUAUUAGGUGUGGUAUGACACCUUCACUCUUCUUGUUGUCCACUGACUCUUCCUUUUAUUUGUGCUUUGCUAUAUCUUUCAUUACAUCUCUCCUUUAUCUUUGCUGUAAAAUAAACAUGUUACAUCUCAUCAUUUGUCCUUUCCUGAAAUCAAGCCUGGGGAUGUGAUUGAUGAAUCCCAUAGAGACAUUUAUUCCGUGGAAGGUGUGGACAAUGCCAACGAAUCGCAUGGAUUUAAGGAUGAUGGACAAAUACCAAGGACUGAAUGAAGAACUAGAAAGAAUGUGGAAAUUGAAGGCAGUAGUAGUCCCAGUUGUUAAAGGAGCACUUGGGGCUGUAACCCCAAGUUGGGGGAGUGGCUUCAACAGAUUCCAGGUGGGACAUCUGAGAUUGCGUUCCGGAAGAGUACAGUUCUUGGAACAGCUAAGAUAAUGUGCACUCUCAGACUCCCAGGCCUCUGGUAGAGGAACCAAACAUGAGGAAUAAAUAUACCACCUAGUUGUGGGAAAACCAUUUUUUUUAUUUUACAAAUUAUAUGAAUACAAUACAAUGUGCUGAAUUAGGUUUCAAUAACCUUAUUUAAAAAAAAAAAAAAA
rnacentral:lncRNA from 1 species